CUGUGGAUUGGGUUCUAGUGUAGCAUAAUAAUAAUUGAAGAAAGAAAAAUCACUUAUUUUUUCCCAAAAAGAAUGUUAUUUUAUGAUUGGAUGUUCUUACCUGCAUCUCAGGACUGUGGAUUAGCUUGGUGUGGAGGCAGCUGUUAUUUCAACUAAAGAUUCAGAGAGGAGGAGUUCAACAAGUAUAGUCACAUUAGUUGUUGCUUUAAUGACAGUUGAUGCUCUUUUGGCAUUAUCUGCUAUAAUCAUUAGCUUGAUUUCUAUAAGAAAUGGAAAAUUUCAGCACUUGAUUUUCAGGAAAUGUUGUGAAGGCAACAUUAGUGAACUUCUAUGAGACACUGAGAUUUGAGUUGAAAGAUGAGGUUGGAAUAACGAUAGCCACAUGUGGUUGGAUUGGAAGUGAAAUGACGCGGGGCAAGUUCAUGCUAGAGGAGGAUGCAGAGAUGCAGUGGAAGGAAGAAAGAGAACAGUGAGUUGAACCAUUUAUAGAGCGCACUGUGACUAGGACCAAAAUGGCUAAGCCAACAUAAGUUCCCCCUUUGAUUAGGUAGCACCCUACUCCAAGGCCUAGUUUUGCAUUUUGAGGCAAGACUUUAACAUUUUUCUUUUGUUUUUUCAACUGAGCUAGUUUUCACUAUAA